AAACCGAGUAGAAUCGAAAAAGAUUGUUCAUCAACGAAGUGAAGACCAGGACGUUGAUGCAAAAACAUUCGACAUAACUACCAAAGAGUCGACAAAAGAGUUUUCUAUUCUACAAAAAAGAUGAGUACUAGUUAUCCAUCUUCUGCAAAGCGGCCAAAAGUCAGAUUGGAGAGAGAUAUUAAUACUGACGAAACGGCUAAUCAUUCCGAAGAAAAUACGCACCCGUUCUUUGCUAGUGAUACAGUUGAAAUAUACCGAAGACAGGGGAGAACAUCAGCAGAGAUCGAUGAAGACAGAGAUGGUAGUCAUCAGAAGAGGCAAAGUCGUAAAAGACGAUCUCAAUCGCCCUCACAUGGGAAUUAUGGUACAGAUGUAAAAAUGGCGAGACAAUUUACGACACUCAGGAUGAAAAAUGCCCCUCGUCUGUCUACGAAUGUUUAUGAAGGACUUUGUGGAGAGUUAGGGACUUCAACAGAGGUGAGAUUCAGAAGGGAAGUAAUUGACAUUCCUGAGGACUUAUUAGGUACAGGAAAUGUAUUUAUUGAAAAGAGAUACUAUAAAUUGAAGCUGAGUGGAAGUUUCCGUGAAGGAUUCAGGCUAAAGACUUCUGAUGAAGAUAUCAUGCACUGGUGUAUAAGUGAUAAAGUGAUCUGCAAUCCCUCUCAGAUCUGUCUCUACCGUAACCCACACCACACAGUGAUACUGAUGGAGUGUGAUGAUCUAUCCCCAGGGUUUACAAGACUGAAACUCGUUGUUCCAGGUAGAUCAUUGGCCAGAUACAGCCAUACAAUGGAUACAGAGAUGUCAACAAUCAGGUUGGCCGGCAGAAACAGAAGUGUCACAAAUCGUGAAUUCUGGCUGCCAUGUUGUACCUAUUGGCAGCACUUCUGGUGCGAGAGCCAUGGCACAACAGUCUUUACAGGACCUCCGCACACUGCUGCACUGUGGUAAAAGGUCACAUGUACCCAUCAUAUCUAGAAAAAUAUGUCCAUAUCUUUACGCUAGGCUGAGUAUUUAUAACGAUCCAUACGAUUGUGUGCUGUACGCAGACAUAUCAUGGCAGAUACUUGGGAUUUGUCAACAUGUCUGUGGGGACUACUUGGGAGCUCUUAGCUCAUAUCAGCGUUCACUAGAGUCUGAGGCGUGUCAUAAAAUUCGCAGAGCAACUUAUCUGAGAAUGCUAUUAUCACUUUUUGCCCUUACACGUAUUCGGACGGUUUACCACCUA
rnacentral:sRNA from 1 species